GUCAGGAUGGCCGAAGCGGUCCAAUGCGCUCGCGUUCAGGUUGUAGUCUCCACUGGAGGCGUGGGUUCGAAUCCCACUUCUGACA
rnacentral:tRNA from 1 species